UGUAGGUUCCUCGCAAGUCUUGUCUUUCUCCAGGGUCCUGGACCUCUUUGGUUAAAUCGUCAAUUCUUUUGUUAGCUGAGUCCACCAGUAUUUGGACAAAGCUUGAAGCUUUUCUCCUGUUGCUGUAACAAAUGCUUGUAGACAUGUUUUUGAUGAUUUCACACAGGUCAUUCUAUGAUACAUUCCUGUCAUAUGUGACAAAGCUCUACUACAGUCAACAUACAUGCGCUAGAGGAAAAGCAAUGAAAAGCACUCCAUCACUUCUUCAGUAGAGCCCGUGGGUGAUAAACUAUGGGACUGUGGAGGACCAAAGCACCAGAGGACACCACAGCGCCUCACAAACAAUUUGCCCCAGGGAGCUGGUGGGAGGCCGGGGAACAAGAACUCCUGGUGUUUACAGAGAUGUGAAGUCUUUAACCCACUCCCUACCCUGGCAUAAUUUAUUUUAAAACCAUAACCCUUAGCCUCAGCCCAGCUGGUUCGGCUUCCAGAAGCUCAAUCAGAAUGGUGCCUAAAGCCAAACUUGUCAUUGUAACAUUGACUGAAUACUGAGGAUCUGAAUAAAUUGUUCUCUCAUCAUUUAUUUAGCUUUUAUCAUUUUUUUUUUCAGGUACAGAAAGUUGAUUGAGCAUUCAUUUUUGUGUACAACAAUAGCUUGGAGAUGAAUUGCAGUGAAGAGGAGCAGGGUUUAAUGUGUGGAUUGGAAGCUGUGGAGGAUCAAUGAGUGUGAGAUCUUGACAAAGGAAACUGUGGGAAACUAAGGAUGUAGUACAAGUGAUAGACUAAUACUUUCCAAUGCCCCCAUAAGACCUAUAAGGUCUGUUAGAAUGUAUGAUUAAACUGGCACAGUGUUUAAAUACGAAGCAUUCUACACAUACUAAUGAAACAAAAUAACAGAUUUUAGUGUAGUCAAAUGAUUCCUAAUAUAUUAGAGUCGAAAGGCAAAAAACAUUAUUGAUUUCUGGAACUUUAAAUGAGUUCAGUCAAACUUCUAAUGACCCAGCAACACAGAGUUGUGUAAUGUAAGCAAUGUUUGAUUA